GUCGAGAAUCUUUCACAAUGGGGGCAACCCUGAUGGAGCGACGCCGCGUGGAGGAUAAGGUCUUCGGAUUGUAAACUCCUGUCAUGCGUGAACAAGGUUGCUUGGUUAAUACCUGGGCAAAUUGAUGGUAACGCAAGAGGAAGAGACGGCUAACUCUGUGCCACCAGCCGCGGUAAUACAGAGGUCUCAAGCGUUGUUCGGAAUCACUGGGCGUAAAGGGUGCGUAGGUGGCGUAGUAAGUCAGAUGUGAAAGCCCGGGGCUCAACCUCGGAACUGCAUCCGAUACUGCCAUGCUAGAGUACUGGAGAGGUGACUAGAAUUCUCGGUGUAGCAGUGAAAUGCGUAGAUAUCGAGAGGAAUACCUAAGGCGUAGGCAGGUCACUGGACAGUUACUGACACUGAGGCACGAAGGCCAGGGGAGCGAACGGGAUUAGAUACCCGUGUAGUCC
rnacentral:rRNA from 1 species